UUCUUUUGUCUUCUUAAUACAAUCAACUUUACAUUCUACAGCAACGACGCUCGGUUUAAAAUACAAACAGCUCCUUUCGUUCUAUUUCUCUCUCUCUCUCUCUCUCCCUCUAUUCAAAAAAAUCGCCGAUUUUUUAAUCAGAUGGGGAUGGAGCAACAUUUAUUAGCUUCUGAGACUAAUGAAUCCACCACAACAAGUUUGCAUGGAAGUAACACUUUGAGUCAGGGUGGUUCUUCAACAAAUGCGUCUGUCAGUGAUCAAAAUGUAAAUUACACUAAUGUUGGAGUUAGUAAACAAAAUGAGACUUUCUGUAACUUGCAUAGUGUUCCUUAUAUUUAUCGACAAGAUGUUGUCAGGAGUAAUACAAGUGGUGCAAUUGGGAUUGUGAGUGAAGUUGCUGGUGACUCAGAUUCAGAUGGAAGCAUAACUGAUGAUGAAGAUGACGAAGACGAAGAUGAUGAGGAGGAUGGUGAAGAUGAAAGCGGUAAUGGUGAUGCAAAUAGCAAUGCUAAUGAGAGUGGUGAUGGGAACAAAGGUGGUAAUUAUAAGUGCGGUGAUCUUCAAGCCGAUCAAAUUCGGGUACUCUGGAUGGAUGACACUGAGCCAGUUCAAAGUAUUAAGAAUGUAAGUGUUGUUGAUCGGGGUUUCUUACAUGGGGAUUAUGUUGCUGCUGCUUUAGAUUCAACUGGACAGGUGGGUGUUGUGGUGGACGUCAAUGUCUCUGUUGAUCUGUUAGCUCCUGAUGGAUCUAUUUUAAAUGAUGUCUCAACUAGAGACUUGCAACGUGUGAGGGAUUUCACUGUGGGCGAUUAUGUGGUCCUUGGUCCCUGGCUGGGUAGAAUAGAUGAUGUUUUAGAUAAUGUCAACGUGUUGUUUGAUGAUGGCUCUGUAUGCAAAGUUACAAGGGCUGAACCAUUGCGUCUUAAACCAAUUACUAGAAAUACCCUUGAAGACGAUAGUAAUUUUCCAUACUAUCCUGGUCAGCGAGUAAGAGCAAGCUCUUCAUCUGUUUUCAAGAAUUCUAGGUGGUUAUCUGGCUUAUGGAAGGCAAAUCGGUUGGAAGGUACAGUCACUAAAGUUACAGCUGGAGCUGUGUUUAUUUAUUGGAUAGCAUCUGCUGGCUAUGGGCCUGAUUCUUCCACUGCCCCUGCUGAAGAGCAGAAUCCAAAGAAUCUAAAACUGUUGUCUUGUUUUGCGCAUGCAAAUUGGCAAGUGGGUGAUUGGUGUCUUCUUCCAACUUCAUCGCAAUGCAUUCCUUUGGACAAGGGUUUGUCCAAACUGCAGCUUAAUGGUUCCAUAAAAAAUAGGGGAAAUUGUGAUAAGUUGGAUAGUGAAUGGGAUUCCAAAGAGGUUAUUCUGUAUGAAUCAAAUGAUAAUAGUGAAUCCAUGGAUCUUGAUGCAACACCUACACCUGAUGAAAACAAUGCAACUAUUGAAACUAAAGACAAUGGAGCUAUUGGAACUAAAGCCUCACCUGAAUCUAGCUCUUGUAGUAGUUCAUUAUCAGUUUCAAAGGAGACUGUCCAUGAACAUUGGCCACAUCACCGCAAGAAGAUCCGGAAAGUUGUGAUUAGGAAAGACAAGAAAGCAAAAAAGAAAGUGGAGAAUUUUGAAAGGGCACUUUUGAUUGUCAAUAGCAGAACAAGAGUUGAUGUUGCAUGGCAGGAUGGAACAAUCGAACGUGGAGUGGAUGCAACGACAUUGAUCCCAAUUGAAACUCCCGGUGAUCAUGAAUUUGUUGCAGAGCAGUAUGUGGUGGAGAAGGCCUCUGAUGAUAGUGAUGAUGUAUAUGAACCCAGGCGUGUUGGGGUUGUCAAAAGUGUUAAUGCAAAGGAGCGGACAGCUUGUAUAAGGUGGAUAAAGCCAGUUGCCAGGGCAGAGGACCCUCGAGAGUUUGACAAGGAAGAAAUUGUAAGUGUGUAUGAGCUGGAAGGACAUCCAGAUUAUGAUUAUUGUUAUGGUGAUGUAGUAGUUCGAUUAUCCCCGGCUUCUGUUCCCAUGCAAUCUGCUUCUGGUGAAGGCUUCAUUGAGGAACCAAAGCAGGAAGAUGGAUCAAAGGAGAUAAAACGAGACUUGAAAAAGUGCUCAGGAAGUAACAAAGUAGAAGGUGAAUCACCAAAUGAAGCUUCCAUGGACUUCACGGAUCUCUCUUGGGUUGGGAACAUAACUGGCCUGAGAAAUGGUGAUAUUGAGGUUACAUGGGCUGAUGGGAUGGUUUCAACGGUUGGACCUCAAGCAAUUUAUGUUGUUGGCCGAGAUGAUGAUGAGUCAAUUGCUGCUGGGAGUGAAGUAAGUGAUGAUGCUGCUAGUUGGGAAACGGUUAAUGAUGAUGAGAUGGAUGCUCUUGAGAAUGCUCAAGAGGAUCUGGAACCACAAAAUGCCAGCAGUAUUAUUUCGGACGUUGAAGAGGGUAUGGAGAAUAAUUCUGGAAGGAAUGCAGCAUUAUCACUCCCCUUAGCUGCAUUUGAUUUUGUCACCAGACUGGCCAGUGGAUUUUUUUCAGGAAGACGAAAAAAUAUUGAUCCAAUUGAUUUGGAUUCCAAAGGAGAAAAUGAACUUCAGCCUGAGGGAAGAGAUUUCAGCCAUGAGUCUAGCUCUCAAAAGUCUAAUGUUCUUGAUAAUUUCAGUGGGGAAAGCGUUAAUGAGAAAGGAGAGGAACAUGUUGAUGAAAAGGCCCACGAACUUUCACUUCCAUCAGAUGUUUUAUGCAAUGUGAGGAUUGAAGACUCAGAUUCUAAAACAGGUGAUGAGGAUGAUACUUGCAGUUUCAAGCGGUUUGAUACAGCUAAAGAUCCUCUAGAUCAUUAUUUUCUUGGUGCAAAUGGACAGAAUAGUACUGGAAGAAAGUGGCUAAAGAAGGUGCAGCAAGAUUGGAACAUCCUUCAGAACAACCUGCCAGAUGGAAUCUAUGUACGGGUAUAUGAAGAUCGGAUGGACCUCUUGAGGGCUGUAAUAGUUGGGGCAUAUGGGACACCUUAUCAAGAUGGUCUCUUCUUCUUUGAUUUCCACCUUCCUCCUGAGUAUCCAGAUGUGCCACCGUCAGCAUACUAUCAUUCUGGCGGUUGGAGAAUAAAUCCUAAUUUGUAUGAGGAAGGUAAGGUGUGCCUUAGCCUUCUAAAUACAUGGACUGGCAGGGGAAACGAAGUUUGGGAUUCAUUGUCCUCUAGCAUCCUUCAAGUCCUAGUUUCACUGCAGGGGUUAGUGCUAAAUUCUAGGCCAUAUUUCAAUGAAGCUGGGUAUGAUAAGCAGGUUGGAACAGCUGAAGGAGAGAAAAAUUCAUUAGCAUACAAUGAGAAUACUUUCUUACUGAACUGCAAGUCAAUGAUGUAUCUCAUGCGGAAGCCCCCAAAGGACUUUGAAGAACUUGUCAGAGACCAUUUCAGGAGACGUGGUUUUUACAUCCUUAAAGCAUGUGAUGCAUACAUGAAAGGCUACUUAAUUGGCUCUCUAACUAAAGAUGCCUCUUAUAGUGAUGCAAACAAUGCAAACUCCACUUCAGUUGGUUUCAAGCUGAUGUUAGGCAAGAUUGUACCUAAGCUUUUAUUGGCACUUAAUGAAGUUGGAGCUGAUUGUCAGGAAUUUAAGCAUUUCCAGCAAUCAUAGUGGUGGGUUCUAAACACUACUCGUUGGUGAAAAAAAAAAUGAAAAAAAAGAAAGACAACUACUCAGCAUUGCCAUCAAAGCAACAAGGUCAGUGCUGGUAAUUCCAAAUUCCAGAUAUUUGUCAAUGUAAAGGCUCUAUCAUGCUCUGUGACUGUUUAUAGGACUUGGUAAAACAUUCUUCUGUCUUGUUUGGAAGCCUUAUAAAUUUUAGGAGCUGGAGUUUCUUGGAGCAAAUCGCAGGGGUCCUUUUCUGUCUUUUGGAAUUUGUUUUUUAAAAACUAACUUAGAAGAUUCAAAAUGCGUGCAGAUUUUUCUCCUCUUAUUUCUUCACUUCAUAUGGGUGAAUUUUGCGUCUAACUUUUUGUUUUCAAAUUUCUUUUAGUACUUUAGGAAUGGGAAGACAGUCAGGGUUUUCGAUUGACUGUUGACUUCAGAUGAUGAAUUGAAAGAAAAGAGUGUCCUACGUCUCAAGUUUCAUUAUACGAUGCUGAAAAGCCGGUAUAGAUGCAUGAUCAGAGGCAUGCUUCUGAUGAGAGCCAUAAAUAUGAGCUACGCUAACUCGCGCAACUUGCCGUUUGCAAUCAGCACGGCAGACUCUUUUACGGUACAAAAAUAUGUUCGAUUUGGGUACCAGAAAGCGUAUACAUCUCUAUAACUGCAGACUCGAACCUGACAUUUCUCAAUUUUUAAAACAUUAGCAAGCUAAUAGAUAGAUUAGAUAUAAUUCUAUACCAAUGCGCUUAAUAAGAAUUUUACAUUCUUCA